rnacentral:rRNA from 1 species
UACGUAGGGUGCAAGCGUUGUCCGGAAUUAUUGGGCGUAAAGAGCUCGUAGGCGGUUUGUUGCGUCGGCUGUGAAAACCUGGGGCUCAACCUCAGGCCUGCAGUCGAUACGAGCAGACUAGAGUGUUGCAGGGGAGACUGGAAUUCCUGGUGUAGCGGUGAAAUGCGCAGAUAUCAGGAGGAACACCGGUGGCGAAGGCGGGUCUCUGGGCAACAACUGACGCUGAGGAGCGAAAGCGUGGGGAGCGAACAGG